UAGUGGCGAACGGGUGAGUAACACGUGGGCAAUCUGCCCUUCACUCUGGGACAAGCCCUGGAAACGGGGUCUAAUACCGGAUAAUACCUGCCUGGGCAUCUGGGUGGGUUAAAAGCUCCGGCGGUGAAGGAUGAGCCCGCGGCCUAUCAGCUUGUUGGUGAGGUAGUGGCUCACCAAGGCGACGACGGGUAGCCGGCCUGAGAGGGCGACCGGCCACACUGGGACUGAGACACGGCCCAGACUCCUACGGGAGGCAGCAGUGGGGAAUAUUGCACAAUGGGCGAAAGCCUGAUGCAGCGACGCCGCGUGAGGGAUGACGGCCUUCGGGUUGUAAACCUCUUUCAGCAGGGAAGAAGCGAGAGUGACGGUACCUGCAGAAGAAGCGCCGGCUAACUACGUGCCAGCAGCCGCGGUAAUACGUAGGGCGCAAGCGUUGUCCGGAAUUAUUGGGCGUAAAGAGCUCGUAGGCGGCUUGUCACGUCGGGUGUGAAAGCCCGGGGCUUAACCCCGGGUCUGCAUUCGAUACGGGCUAGCUAGAGUGGGGUAGGGGAGAUCGGAAUUCCU
rnacentral:rRNA from 1 species